CUCGUAGGCGGUUCGGUAAGUCAGGUGUGAAAUCUCCACGCUCAACGUGGAGGCGCCACCUGAAACUGCCGUGACUCGGGUCCGGUAGGGGAGUGUGGAAUUCCCGGUGUAGCGGUGAAAUGCGCAGAUAUCGGGAGGAACACCAGUGGCGAAGGCGGCACUCUGGGCCGGUACUGACGCUGAGGAGCGAAAGCGUGGGGAGCGAACA
rnacentral:rRNA from 1 species